GGGGAGCAGCCCAGAGCCUGAAUCAGUGUGUGUGUUAGUGGAAGCGUCUGGAAAGGCGCGCGAUACAGGGUGACAGCCCCGUACACAAAAAUGCACAUAUUGUGAGCUCGAUGAGUAGGGCGGGACACGUGGUAUCCUGUCUGAAUAUGGGGGGCCCAUCCUCCAAGGCUAAAUACUCCUGACUGACCGAUAGUGAACCAGUACCGUGAGGGAAAGGCGAAAAGAACCCCGGCGAGGGGAGUGAAAAAGAACCUGAAACCGUGUACGUACAAGCAGUGGGAGCACGCUUAGGCGUGUGACUGCGUACCUUUUGUAUAAUGGGUCAGCGACUUAUAUUCUGUAGCAAGGUUAACCGAAUAGGGGAGCCGAAGGGAAACCGAGUCUUAACUGGGCGUUAAGUUGCAGGGUAUAGACCCGAAACCCGGUGAUCUAGCCAUGGGCAGGUUGAAGGUUGGGUAACACUAACUGGAGGACCGAACCGACUAAUGUUGAAAAAUUAGCGGAUGACUUGUGGCUGGGGGUGAAAGGCCAAUCAAACCGGGAGAUAGCUGGUUCUCCCCGAAAGCUAUUUAGGUAGCGCCUCGUGAAUUCAUCUCCGGGGGUAGAGCACUGUUUCGGCAAGGGGGUCAUCCCGACUUACC
rnacentral:rRNA from 1 species